UGUCUCUUUGCAGGCACAUACACUAAAACUUGGAACAACACAGAGAUUAGCAUGGGCCCUAUCAGAGAAUGACACACAAAGUUAAGACGCAUUCUAUAAUUUG
ensembl:snRNA U6 U6 spliceosomal RNA